UGGGGAAUAUUGGACAAUGGGCGCAAGCCUGAUCCAGCCAUGCCGCGUGAGUGAUGAAGGCCCUAGGGUUGUAAAGCUCUUUCACCGGUGAAGAUAAUGACGGUAACCGGAGAAGAAGCCCCGGCUAACUUCGUGCCAGCAGCCGCGGUAAUACGAAGGGGGCUAGCGUUGUUCGGAAUUACUGGGCGUAAAGCGCACGUAGGCGGAUCGAUCAGUUAGGGGUGAAAUCCCGGGGCUCAACCCCGGAACUGCCUCUAAUACUGUCGACCUGGAGUUCGAGAGAGGUGAGUGGAAUUCCGAGUGUAGAGGUGAAAUUCGUAGAUAUUCGGAGGAACACCAGUGGCGAAGGCGGCUCACUGGCUCGAUACUGACGCUGAGGUGCGAAAGCGUGGGGAGCAAACA
rnacentral:rRNA from 1 species